rnacentral:miRNA from 14 species
CACUUCACGCUGCAUGCUAUUG